rnacentral:misc_RNA from 1 species
UACGUAGGGUGCAAGCGUGAAUCGGAAUUACUGGGCGUAAAGCGCGCGUAGGCGGCUUUGCAAGUCGGGUGUGAAAUCCACAGGCUCAACCUGGGAACUGCAUUCGAGACUGCAUUGCUAGAGUAUGGGAGAGGGAAGUGGAGUUUCCGGUGUAGCGGUGAAAUGCGUAGAUAUCGGAAGGAACAUCAGUGGCGAAAGCGACUUCCUGGACCCAUACUGACGCUCAUGUGCGAAAGCGUGGGGAGCAAACAGG